CCACGGUUUCCGUUAUUUUCGAUAUUAUUUUUUUGUUGCAAGUAAGUAAAUAUAAUUAUUUGCAUCUAUAAUUUUUACAGAGUAUUAAUACAAGCCUUUUCAAGAUGUAAUUACAUUUUUAAAAUGACUGAUAGAUUAUGACAUUCCUAACAAAUUUCGUUAGAGCGUACAUAACUUUUAAAAACAAAAUUCAGAAGUUGUAUGUGAGUCUACUCGACGGCCCUACAUAACCCAAUGACCAUUUUGGUUUAUUAUUUAUGUUCACAAAUUCGCAAUUCAACUACCAACGGUUUAUUAUCGUGAUAUAAAAAUGUCAAAUAUGAUAUCAAAACUUCAUAACAAUCAAACGGGAGUUCAAAAUUUAAUAAUAACAAUCGGAAAUAAAUUAAAUAUCUUACAAGGAGUUAUUAGUAAUAAUACAAUGUAAUAAUUUAUUACAUUAUAAAACUAUUAGGAACCUUGUACAGUCCUAUGAAGUCUGCAUUUAUAAACCUUUACAGUAAAGAUUAUGACAUCGGUUGAAGUAACAUACCGAGUGUAAUGACCUUAGAUUAAAGGUCCGGGCAAAACUUCUAUAUUCUUUGUACUACAUUGUACCUACUAAUAUGCAAGACUGAGCAAGUUAUUGAUUAUUUUCAAUUCAGUUAAGUUAAGUUAAAUUUGAAUUUAGAUAAAGUUAAUUCAUAAUAAUAAUCUAUCAUU